rnacentral:rRNA from 1 species
CAGUAGCCGCGGUAAUACGUAGGGUGCGAGCGUUAAUCGGAAUUACUGGGCGUAAAGCGUGCGCAGGCGGUUCGUUAAGACAGAUGUGAAAUCCCCGGGCUUAACCUGGGAACUGCAUUUGUGACUGACGGGCUAGAGUAUGGGAGAGGGGGGUAGAAUUCCACGUGUAGCAGUGAAAUGCGUAGAGAUGUGGAGGAAUACCGAUGGCGAAGGCAGCCCCCUGGGCCAAUACUGACGCUCAUGCACGAAAGCGUGGGGAGCAAACAGGAUUAGAUACCCCAGUAGUCCCUGUCUCUUAUAC